GCCGUCCUUGCCGUGCGACCCUAGCCCUGUUUUGUCUCUGCCCAGCCUUCCGCAGCCCGAUCCCCUCCGGCCACCGUUCGGCCUCACCAGAGCUCCCCUCACCCUCCGCAGGCCCCGCUUUGCCAGCUUAGCCACCGGACGAGCUUCGUCCAGCCAAGAACAGUGGAUGGAAAAGUGGGUUUCCAGCACUGUUCAAGGCCCGCUUUGGGCCGUUCCGGGCCCCGAACCCGAGCCGUGCUUUGGAGUUUAUCGUUCCUCGCGCCGUCCCCGGAUUGGUCCGAUUUGUGUGCGAUUCUGGCCUGUAGAUGAGCCUGUGGAGGAGGAACCAUAAGAGGACGAUGAGUCGGAAAAUGAUGAAGAGCUUGAAGGAUGUGAGCUCAGCGAAGAAUGAUGAAGUCAGAAGAGGAUCAGGAUGAUCCUGAGUAUGAAUCGGAUGAGGAUUGAAAUCCCAUCUCUUGGUGAACCCUUUGUAUAUGUGUAGAUAGAGUGAGACUUCGAAGUUGUGAAUAGUUUGUGAAGUGCUCUGUCUAAUGCCAUGUAUAAAGGUUCGGUUGUAGAUUUCAAUAUGAAAAAUAUGGCCUGCUUUUCUA